GCCUAGCAUGGUGGAGCAUACUUGUAAUCCCGGCUACCAGGGAGGCUGACGCAGGAGGAUCGCUUGAGUCCAGAGUUCUGGGCUUUAGUGCACUAUGCAGAUCUGGUGUCUAAACUAAGUUUGGCAUCAGUACGGUGACCUCCCAGGAGUGAGUGACCACCAGGUUGCCUAAAGAGGGGUGAACCGGCCCAGGUUGGAAAUGGAACAGGUCAAAACUCCUGUGCUGAUCAGAAGAAAAAUAUAUGGUUUUGGGGCAGCAGGUUGCCAUGUCAUAUGUGCAU
rnacentral:SRP_RNA from 1 species